GGUAUUAUGAGGUCGUGGGUUGUGGGUUUUUGGGCUGCUUUCACAAUGUUCCACGGCAACAGACGGCGGACAUGCAUUAAGGAGGAUCCAGUGGCUACCCCGUACCAAGAUGGCGAUUGCUUUUCUGCAUCGCUCCAAUGAACAGCAGUGACGGCAUCUAUGUGUAUAUCAAUGGACCUGCAGUGGAGCACAAGCACAGACACAGCAGUAAAAACACAAACAAGGGAUUUAUUGAGCAAACAAGAUAACGCAAUAGGGCAGGAAGACAGACCAAAGACAACACAGUCAAAACAACUGACCAACUCACCAGGAGAGCAGAAGACGGUAGCAGACUCAUCAAGCUUCAAGAGCCAAAUAGAAAUGAAUAAAUGGACCUAUUCUGCAGAUCCUCCUCAUCCUCUACUACAACACUUAAUUGUAGUGGAAAAUGAAGCUUUGACCUGAAAUGGGAAGGUUAUCUUGCACUGUCAAUCACCCAUUGAUUUAGAAGACUUUCCAUGGUUACAUUAGAAGCCAUGUGGAAGUAUUCGUGGAUCAGCCCCCCAUCGGGCUAGGCAAACCCCCAUUAGCACCCCGUGGUCCUGAAACCAAAGUGCCAAGACAGGAUCAUACAUCUUCUUGGGUCUGCAUCUUGUCAGCCAUGUUUCUGGCUUAAUUGAAGUUACCAUGUGGAUUAACGUGCCUCUAGGCGGUAGGAGGCAUAGGAGAAAUACAUUUUAAUUUUAUUUGAUUUUAAGAUCUGCAUCUGUUGGGACAAAAAUCAGAUCCACAUGACACAGGGACUGGAGAAACUUAUUAGCACCCUUAGGUUAUAACAGGAUGGGUGUACAGACCGGAAAUCCAAAUCAAAAUUAUAAGCUCUAAUAUAAGAUGAACAAAAAGCACAGCUAUGUAAGCUGUCUCAAAAAAUAGCACUGCUUCUUGUCUAUGUGCUUCUUUUUACAAUGCUUUGUGUAACUGUUCAUGCUAACGUUAAAAAUCAUAAGAUGGUCCAAAUUCUGUGAUCAGAAUGUAUGGAAGAUCAUAAGAUGGUCCAAAUUCUGUUGACAAGAACAUAACUUAAUUAUAAUUUAAUUUUAAUUAUCUUGUCUGCCAUAUUUCAUUCUGGAACCUAUAGUUACCACAAAUCUUCCAGUCCCCACCAUAUAUUUCUCUCAACACAGAGCACUUACUGUCCAUAAAUCACUGUAUUGUAACAUUUAGAGCCCCUUAUUCACCUCCUGUAACUAAUUCCAAGACAAGCUUUUGAUUAUUGAAAAGAUUUAAGAUUAACUUGCACUUAUGGCUUUUGCUUUCAAACAGGUUUGAAAGUGAAUGCAUGGCAGUCCUUUAAGUUAGCUCACACUACGUGAUAGGAAUCGAUUUAUUACUAGAUAGUACAGAAAAAUCUGUAGCAUUUGGAGU